CUUACUUUGGAUUAUGUUUAAUUAAGAAAAGCAAAGUGCAUACAGAGAUUUAUAACUUUAAAAACAAAAAAAAAAAGUCUUUUUAUAUGAUCCAAAGAAUAAACUCAAAAGUCCAUGACAAAUAGAAGUUCUAAACAAUUGUUUACAAAUACUUUAGGUAUAAUUACAGUAAAAGUCAAGUUCAUUUGAAAUCACCAAAAAAAAAGUUUCAGGUUGGACACGGUGGCUCACCACCUGUAAUCCCAGUAUUUAGGGAUUUUCUUACAAUAAAAGGCAUACAGGUUGAUUAUUUUAGGCAUACAGGUUGAUUAUUUUAGGCAUACAGGUUGAUUAUUAAAUGACAUGAUUGCCCAUAUAUAAAAUUUUAAGGAAUCUAAAAACAAAAAACAGCUUCCAAAACUAGUGAGUUUAGAAGCACAGAGGAUGCAACAUAAAUAUAUGAAAAUCGAUUGUAUUUCUAUAUAGUAACAAAAAACAAGUAGACACUAAAAUUAAAACUACUAUGUUGUUUAUAAUCAUUCGAAAAGGUAAAUACUUAGCUAUAAAUCUCACAAAACAUGGACAGAACUCAUAAGCUGAAACCUACACAGUGCUGAGGAAAACAGUCCCUGGAUCAUCCUGCAGCCUGGAGGGCACCGCCUCGGCGGCCCGGCUGACUCUCACGGCCCUGGGACUUUCAGGGUGGAGCGUGAACAGGCUUCCGGGAAACAUCUUCCAUCAGCCAAACCGUCCCGCUGCCUUAUUGAAGAAGUCCAUCUUCCAGUUUUUCUGCUCAUAUCUCUGAAUCUCUCCUUGGCAAAGGCUCACGUGGGCUCCGGCACGGGCGUCAUGCGGAGGACAAGGAAGGGGAGCCGCGCGUCUGGGGGUGACUCCCGGAGCCCCGCCUGCACCCAGGCCCGCCCUUCCUGCGCAGUGGCCCUGCCUGAGGCUGCUUUCCACCAGCGGGAAUCGAAACUGAUCUAGAUGAGAACACAUAUGUGGAGGGAGGAGACUUGGCUAGAAAGGAGAAAGAGCAAGAACACCUUUAUGAGGCAGAGAAGGGACAGUGACGAGGAUUAG
rnacentral:lncRNA from 1 species